AUGCUCACUUUGGCAACAUGUGUAAUAAAAUUGGAACAAUACAAAGAUUAGCAUGACCCCUGCACAAAGAUGACACAAUUCUGUAAAAAAGCUUUUCUUAAUUUU
ensembl:snRNA U6 U6 spliceosomal RNA